rnacentral:rRNA from 1 species
GACGAACGCUGGCGGCGUGCUUAACACAUGCAAGUCGAACGGAAAGGCCCUGCUUUUGUGGGGUGCUCGAGUGGCGAACGGGUGAGUAACACGUGAGUAACCUGCCCUUGACUUUGGGAUAACUUCAGGAAACUGGGGCUAAUACCGGAUAGGAGCUCCUGCUGCAUGGUGGGGGUUGGAAAGUUUCGGCGGUUGGGGAUGGACUCGCGGCUUAUCAGCUUGUUGGUGGGGUAGUGGCUUACCAAGGCUUUGACGGGUAGCCGGCCUGAGAGGGUGACCGGCCACAUUGGGACUGAGAUACGGCCCAGACUCCUACGGGAGGCAGCAGUGGGGAAUAUUGCACAAUGGGCGGCAGCCUGAUGCAGCACCGCCGCGUGCGGGAUGACGGCCUUCGGGUUGUAAACCGCUUUCGCCUGUGACGAGGCGUGAGUGACGGUAAUGGGUAAAGAAGCACCGGCUAACUACGUG